rnacentral:rRNA from 1 species
UGGGGAAUAUUGCGCAAUGGGCGAAAGCCUGACGCAGCAACGCCGCGUGAGUGAUGAAGGCCUUCGGGUUGUAAAGCUCUUUCGGCUGGGAAGAAGGGUGUGCAUGUGAACAAUGUGUACAUUUGAUGGUACCAGAAGAAGAAGCACCGGCUAACUUCGUGCCAGCAGCCGCGGUAAUACGAAGGGUGCAAGCGUUGUUCGGAUUUACUGGGCGUAAAGGGUUCGUAGGCGGGAGUUUAAGUUGUGUGUGAAAUCCCUGGGCUUAACCCAGGACGUGCACACAAAACUGGAUUUCUUGAGUGUUGGAGAGGGUUGUGGAAUUGCUGGUGUAGGAGUGACAUCCGUAGAGAUCAGCAGGAACACCGGAGGCGAAGGCGACAACCUGGCCAAACACUGACGC